rnacentral:rRNA from 1 species
GAUGAACGCUGGCGGCGUGCCUAAUACAUGCAAGUCGAGCGAACAGACGAGGAGCUUGCUCCUCUGACGUUAGCGGCGGACGGGUGAGUAACACGUGGGUAACCUACCUAUAAGACUGGGAUAACUCCGGGAAACCGGGGCUAAUACCGGAUAACACAUGAAACCGCAUGGUUUCAUGAUGAAAGACGGUUUUGCUGUCACUUAUAGAUGGACCCGCGGCGUAUUAGCUAGUUGGUAAGGUAACGGCUUACCAAGGCAACGAUACGUAGCCGACCUGAGAGGGUGAUCGGCCACACUGGAACUGAGACACGGUCCAGACUCCUACGGGAGGCAGCAGUAGGGAAUCUUCCGCAAUGGGCGAAAGCCUGACGGAGCAACGCCGCGUGAGUGAUGAAGGUCUUCGGAUCGUAAAACUCUGUUAUUAGGGAAGAACAAGGAUGUAAGUAACUGUGCAUCCCUUGACGGUACCUAAUCAGAAAGCCACGGCUAACUACGUGCCAGCAGCCGCGGUAAUACGUAGGUGGCAAGCGUUAUCCGGAAUUAUUGGGCGUAAAGCGCGCGUAGGCGGUUUUUUAAGUCUGAUGUGAAAGCCCACGGCUCAACCGUGGAGGGUCAUUGGAAACUGGAAAACUUGAGUGCAGAAGAGGAAAGUGGAAUUCCAUGUGUAGCGGUGAAAUGCGCAGAGAUAUGGAGGAACACCAGUGGCGAAGGCGACUUUCUGGUCUGCAACUGACGCUGAUGUGCGAAAGCGUGGGGAUCAAACAGGAUUAGAUACCCUGGUAGUCCACGCCGUAAACGAUGAGUGCUAAGUGUUAGGGGGUUUCCGCCCCUUAGUGCUGCAGCUAACGCAUUAAGCACUCCGCCUG